GGAUUGACAUCCUACGAAUCCCCUUGAAAGAGGGGAGUGCCUUCGGGAACGUAGAGACAGGUGGUGCAUGGCUGUCGUCAGCUCGUGUCGUGAGAUGUUGGGUUAAGUCCCGCAACGAGCGCAACCCUCGUCCUUAGUUGCCAUCAUUAAGUUGGGCACUUUGAGGAGACUGCCGGUGACAAACCGGAGGAAGGUGGGGAUGACGUCAAGUCAUCAUGCCCCUUACAUCCUGGGCUACACACGUACUACAAUGCAACGGACAAAGGGCAGCCAACUAGCGAUAGUGAGCUAAUCCCAUAAACCGUUGCUCAGUUCAGAUUGCAGGCUGCAACUCGCCUGCAUGAAGGCGGAAUCGCUAGUAAUCGCAGGUCAGCAUACUGCGGUGAAUACGUUCCCGG
rnacentral:rRNA from 1 species